rnacentral:misc_RNA from 1 species
CGUAAAUCUUAAAAGGCAAACUGGCGCAUAAUAGCUUUCACAAAUGAACCUCAGGACCUAAUAUCGAUUUACGUAAAAGGCAUGAAAUUAAAACAACCCUUACCCAAAGAAAUGGUGCAGUUUGAACUAUAAAUAUUGUCCAUACUGUUCCAAUUUUUGAAAAAACUGUGUUUAUUUCAAUGUGAUUAGACCUUAAUUAAAAGUGGCAAAUAACAAAACCCUUCCUAAUUAUUCCCCAUUAUCACACAACAACAAAACAGAUAAUACAUGAGCUUAAGGUCAGAAGGAUUUGAAGCAAGGCACAAACAUAACUUAUAAAGAAUUUUGAAACUAAACAAAUAACCUCUUUUUCUGUCACUUGGAAAUGCCAUCAGUUUUCUUGAUGCUUAGGGUCUGUCAGAAAUGUAGCCCCCUCUGCUAAAGCUUGAGGCAGCUCAGCUCGAUCUAAUACAAAAAGAAUGUACAUAGCAAGCUAUCCACAGGAGACAUUUUGGAUGCAAAGGCUCAUUUUAGCAUCUAAAGUCUGUCUGUCAAACAUCUGCGGAUAGACACUGCAAAUUUGUUAACCUGGUUAGGGUGGAGGAGGAUGGCACAGACUCCCAAACAAACAGCAAAUGUGGCGAUUAAAAAUACUGCAGGGCGAAACUUCAUGACUCUGUUAGAAAAAACGAGACUACAUGACCUCUUUGGCCUUUCCUUGCCAAGGUUCACAUUCACAACAACCUCUUUACUCAAAAGUGG